rnacentral:rRNA from 1 species
GUGAACGCUGGCGGUAGGCCUAACACAUGCAAGUCGAACGGCAGCACAGUAAGAGCUUGCUCUUACGGGUGGCGAGUGGCGGACGGGUGAGGAAUACAUCGGAAUCUACUUUUUCGUGGGGGAUAACGUAGGGAAACUUACGCUAAUACCGCAUACGACCUACGGGUGAAAGCAGGGGAUCUUCGGACCUUGCGCGAUUGAAUGAGCCGAUGUCGGAUUAGCUAGUUGGCGGGGUAAAGGCCCACCAAGGCGACGAUCCGUAGCUGGUCUGAGAGGAUGGUCAGCCACGCUGGAACUGAGACACGGUCCAGACUCCUACGGGAGGCAGCAGUGGGGAAUAUUGGACAAUGGGCGCAAGCCUGAUCCAGCCAUACCGCGUGGGUGAAGAAGGCCUUCGGGUUGUAAAGCCCUUUUGUUGGGAAAGAAAAGCAGCAGGUUAAUACCCCGCUGUUCUGACGGUACCCAAAGAAUAGGCACCGGCUAACUUCGUG